GCCAUAAAUUUCGCCCAAAAACACUUCUCAAGCCUGCAGAUUUGAGAAUUAAAAUGGCAGCUGAAAAUUACUUUUACAUCUUAGCUUUCUUUAAGAAAAAUCAAAAAACAGUAGCGUACUUUCAAAAAAAAAAAGAUCAUUGUUCCAUUACCUUUUAGAUCCUUUAAAAUUCCUAUUUGAACGUCUUCAUUUCUGUGCUAAAUUGGAGUUAUUAAAAGCUUUCUGGAGUGAUCUGUUGCCUUGUUCGAGUAAUUUUGGGCAUAACUAGACUGGUUUGGGUUGAGUUAUUGUCUUUGAAGUAUUUUGGGUUCAUCUUCGAGUUUAUUUGGUUGAUUUUGAGUUGUAGUUUGUUGGCUGAGUCUAUUUGAAAUAUUUGGUUGACUGUUAGCUUCAGAAAUUGUGUUGGGAAUAGUUUUGAGUCUGUUUGGGUUUCUGAAAGUGAAUUUGGUCUACUAUCGGUGCUGUUUCCUCUAUGAAAAUUAUUCUGGCUUGUGUCACAAUUUCAUGGGCUGUGUAUUGUUGCUAUUUGAUUAUCUCUUGGUCUACUGUUGUUUGAAUUGCUGUUGACUCACUCUUCCCCCUUCAUUAUUCUUCAAAUCUCCAAGUACAAUACUCGAACCUGACUUGGAAUUGAAUAUUGAUUGGCUUCCACAAAGCUGUUGAAAAUUCAAGCUGAAAUUCAAUUAAAUAUCUCAAGUUUUGAUGGUGUUGAAUACUUUAGUAUACAUGAUUAAGUGUUUCAGUUUUGUAUAUUUCUGUUUCUGGUCUGUAUUGAGUGCUAGUGCAUGUUAAUGGCUUAGGUUGAUAUUGUUGCUUGGAUCUAUUGUAUAAUAUUAGAAUACUGGGUGUUUUAAUACUGUCGAACUCAAGUGUAGGAAUGGAUUGCAUUUAUGCUUUCAAAUGGUGAUCAUGUUAAGCUUAGUUUGAGUGGUUUUUGUGUUUCAGACCUUGAAUCUACAUUGGA
rnacentral:lncRNA from 1 species